rnacentral:rRNA from 1 species
UACGUAGGGGGCAAGCGUUGUCCGGAUUUAUUGGGCGUAAAGAGCGUGUAGGCGGCCAUACAGGUCCGUUGUGAAAACUGGAGGCUUAACCUCCAGACGUCGAUGGAAACCGUAUGGCUAGAGUCCGGAAGAGGAGAGUGGAAUUCCUGGUGUAGCGGUGAAAUGCGCAGAUAUCAGGAAGAACACCAGUGGCGAAGGCGGCUCUCUGGGACGGUACUGACGCUGAGACGCGAAGGCGUGGGGAGCGAACAGG